rnacentral:rRNA from 1 species
UACGUAGGGUGCAAGCGUUAAUCGGAAUUACUGGGCGUAAAGCGUGCGCAGGCGGUUAUGCAAGACAGAUGUGAAAUCCCCGGGCUCAACCUGGGAAUGGCGAUGAAGACUGCAAGGCUAGAAUCUGGCAGAGGGGGGUAGAAUUCCACGUGUAGCAGUGAAAUGCGUAGAGAUGUGGAGGAACACCGAUGGCGAAGGCAGCCCCCUGGGUCAAGAUUGACGCUCAUGCACGAAAGCGUGGGGAGCAAACAGG